UCUUGGAUGUAAAUAGAUGUAAGUCUACCAGAGUACUACGAAUUAAUUUAUAAAAUUUAAAACUCAAAGAGCUUGGCGGUGUUUUAGACCUUUCAGGGGAACCUGUCUCAUAAUCGACAGUCCACGUUAAACCUAGCCUUUUUUUGUAAAACAGUUUGUAUACCGUCGUCGUCAGGUAACUUUUUAGAAAAUAGAAGUUAGCAGUAAAAUUUAUAGUGAAUUUAAACGUCAGAUCAAGGUGCAGCUUAUAUAAAGGUGAGGAUGGGUUACAAUUAAUAUUUAUAAUACGGAUAAAUUAGUGAAGUCUAACUUAAUGAAGGAGGACUUGAAAGUAAAGAAAACUAUACGAAUAGUUUGAAUAUGGCUCUGAAACAUGC
rnacentral:rRNA from 1 species